AUACGUAGGUGGCAAGCGUUGUCCGGAAUUAUUGGGCGUAAAGCGCGCGCAGGCGGUCCUUUAAGUCUGAUGUGAAAGCCCACGGCUCAACCGUGGAGGGUCAUUGGAAACUAGAGGACUUGAGUGCAGAAGAGGAAAGUGGAAUUCCAAGUGUAGCGGUGAAAUGCGUAGAGAUUUGGAGGAACACCAGUGGCGAAGGCGACUUUCUGGUCUGUAACUGACGCUGAGGCGCGAAAGCGUGGGGAGCAAACAGGAUUAGAUACCCUGGUAGUCCACGCCGUAAACGAUGAGUGCUAAGUGUUAGGGGGUUUCCGCCCCUUAGUGCUGCAGCUAACGCAUUAAGCACUCCGCCUGGGGAGUACGGUCGCAAGACUGAAACUCAAAGGAAUUGGCGGGG
rnacentral:rRNA from 1 species